GAUGAACGCUGGCGGCGUGCCUAAUACAUGCAAGUCGAGCGAACAGACGAGGAGCUUGCUCCUUUGACGUUAGCGGCGGACGGGUGAGUAACACGUGGAUAACCUACCUAUGAGACUGGGAUAACUUCGGGAAACCGGAGCUAAUACCGGAUAACAUGCUGAACCGCAUGGUUCAACAGAGAAAGACGGUCUUGCUGUCACUUAUAGAUGGAUCCGCGCCGCAUUAGCUAGUUGGGAAUGAAACGGCUUAUCACGGCUACCAUGCGUAACCGAGCUGACAGGGUGAUCGGCCACGCUGGAACUGAGACACUGCCCAGACUCCUACGGGAGGCAACAAUAGGGAAUCGUGCGCAAUGGUCAAAAACCUGACCGACCAACGCCGCGAGAGUGAACAAGGUCUUCAGAUCGUUAAACUCUGUUAAUACGGAAGAACCAAUGUGGAAGUAACUAUGCACGGCUUGACGGUUCCUAAUCAUAACGCCACUGCUAACUACGUGCCAGUAGUCGCGAUUAUACGUACGUGGCGAGCGCUAUCCGGAAUUAUUGGGCCUAAAGCGCGCGCAUGCGGUUUUUUAGUCUGAUGUGAAAGCCCACGGCUCAACCGUGGAGGGUCAUUGGAAACUGGAAAACUUGAGUGCAGAAGAGGAAAGUGGAAUUCCAUGUGUAGCGGUGAAAUGCGCAGAGAUAUGGAGGAACACCAGUGGCGAAGGCGACUUUCUGGUCUGUAACUGACGCUGAUGUGCGAAAGCGUGGGGAUCAAACAGGAUUAGAUACCCUGGUAGUCCACGCCGUAAACGAUGAGUGCUAAGUGUUAGGGGGUUUCCGCCCCUUAGUGCUGCAGCUAACGCAUUAAGCACUCCGCCUGGGGAGUACGACCGCAAGGUUGAAACUCAAAGGAAUUGACGGGGACCCGCACAAGCGGUGGAGCAUGUGGUUUAAUUCGAAGCAACGCGAAGAACCUUACCAAAUCUUGACAUCCUCUGACCCCUCUAGAGAUAGAGUUUUCCCCUUCGGGGGACAGAGUGACAGGUGGUGCAUGGUUGUCGUCAGCUCGUGUCGUGAGAUGUUGGGUUAAGUCCCGCAACGAGCGCAACCCUUAAGCUUAGUUGCCAUCAUUAAGUUGGGCACUCUAAGUUGACUGCCGGUGACAAACCGGAGGAAGGUGGGGAUGACGUCAAAUCAUCAUGCCCCUUAUGAUUUGGGCUACACACGUGCUACAAUGGACAAUACAAAGGGUAGCGAAACCGCGAGGUCAAGCAAAUCCCAUAAAGUUGUUCUCAGUUCGGAUUGUAGUCUGCAACUCGACUACAUGAAGCUGGAAUCGCUAGUAAUCGUGGAUCAGCAUGCUACGGUGAAUACGUUCCCGGGUCU
rnacentral:rRNA from 1 species